CAUUAAGUUAUUGCAAAAGGUUUUCAGUUCAUUUAUUAUCAGAGUAUCCCAAAAACAUCAACAUAAAAUUGAGGAGCGAUACGAUCACGCCUUCGCCUUGCCACGGUCUCCUGAAGUACCUGAAACAAUACAUUGAAACUGUAAGCCCGAAAGCUUAGUGAGGUACCCCCAAAAUACCAACCACAAUACUAUACACAUAUCAUAUCAUAUCAUAAACUGAACAACCAUGCAUAUCGAGUCUACAGUGUGACUGGUCCGCCUGCACCAGGCCUUCAGUCCACCCGGUCCACUCUUUCUCCAAGUCUAUAGUAUGAUUGGUCCGCCCGCACCGGGCCUUCAGUCCACCUGGUCCACUCUCUGAGUCUACAGUAUGACUGGUCCACCCGCACCGGGCCUUCAGUCUAUCUAGUCCACUCUCCGAGCCUCGGCACGUCUGGUCCGCCCUCUUGGGGCCUUCAGCCUAUCCGGACCACUCGCCGGGCCUUCGGUCUAACCGGUCCGCCCUGGGUAUUUUGGCCUACAGCACAAAGCAUGACCCGCCUCAACCCAACCCCAGUCUAACAACCAUGUGCACAUAAACAUAUAAUCAUAUUGCAAUUCAUAACUAAUCAACUGAUCUAGCAGAUCACAUAACAUAGCAACCUCCUAACCAGGACACCGACGUAACCGGUCACUAACAUAGCAACAUCCUAUAUACCAGGAUACCGACCUUAACCAGGUCUAUAACAUAGCAUCAUCCUAUAUACCAGGAUGCAGAAAUAGCAAAGAAAUAACACAACAAACAACUACCCGGAUUCCCAUUCGAUAAAGGGCCGACCUUGGUGCCUUAGACCCUGUUGAUAUAGUGAGGAUAACUCACCUGCAACUGCCGACUUGAAGAAAUAAGAUCACGCUGCUCCGACCACUAGUACGAGCUCCACCACUAAACAUUACCAAUUAACCAAAACCAAUAAGCACCAAAAUACCCUUGGAAGUCAAACUGGUCAACCCUUGGUCCAAGUCAAAGUCCUUAGUCAAAGUCAACCUUCUUGGUUGACCCUACUCGCCCAGUCAACUCGUUGAAUCGUCGAGUUCCUAUGCUCAGAAACUCCCCAUUCCACGACUCUACUCGCCGAGUCACCCCAAGACUCGUCGAGUCCAACGAUCUUCGAGUCUCAUCCUGCUCAACACACCGAGUUCCCCCUCAACUCACCGAGACACGGCUUANUUCCACGACCAGACUCGCCGAGUCCAAGAACAGACUCUUUGAGUCGAAGGCAAUCUUCAACAGACUCCCCGAGUUGUUCUUCCAACUCGCCAAGUCCACACGGGACUAAUCGAACCAAACCAUACCUGACUCGCCGAGUCCACACGGGUUAUUCUAUAAUCUGAAAAUAUAGAGCUUCUCCUAUGCUCCAAACAAUAGAUCAGGGUUCGCAUGGUUCAUUAGCAACAGAAAUUUUCUACCUUUACGUGCUUCCAUGACCCAUUCACCAAAAACCAAGCUAAAAUGGAACUUAACUCAUUAGGGCUGGCUUUUGCAUAGCUAAACAAAGGGCUUUCUUCACAUAGAAUCCAUAUAGAACUCAGAUCUGGAGUUUCAACUCCAGAUCUAGCUCAUGCAUCAAGAUCUCAUUAUAAAUUCCUCCAAAUAAACCCUAAAGCUCCAUGAAAGGUGGAUCUAGAAGAAAUAAAGCCAAGAUGAUGAAUCCUUACCUCAAAACAACCUCCAACUGAAGAGUAAACCAAAUCUCCUCAAGCCUCCUUGAUCCAAGCUUUUUAAUCUUCAAUACUUCCUUUCUAAAUCCACUUAUCAAGCUCCAAAAUGCUCUCAAGGUCUCACUUAUGAUUUUAGGGCUGCUGAUUCUCAGGGGAGUAAUAAGGGUCCGAAAUGGGGGCUUAAGGCUCCUUAAAUAAGGUGCAAACCCUAGGAAUUAGGGUUUCUCAUUCCAGCACGGACUCGUCGAGUCUAGCCUCCGACUCGGCGACUCCGAUCACUUAACACGUGUCCAAUACACGCUUAGACUUGACGAGUUGCAGCUCCUACUCGCCGAGUUCCUAUUUUCCAAACUUACACUUUGCCCCCUGAACUCUUGAUUAUGACUUGGGAUGUUACAAUUCUCCCCCAUUUAAAUUAGGCUUCGUCCUCGAUGCCUGCUACAGCACACAAUUCCAGAUACCACCCCCGCAAUGCACCUCCUGGUCUCAACCGACCCAGGUUCCUCCAAACACUGCCAUCAAAUCCCUAUAAAGUCCAACUCUUUCUCACAGAGUCACAACAAUUGCUUCAAGCCGACCACCGACUUCUUUCUCUAACAACCAUACUUAUCAACCAAUGAUCACCCGCUGAUACUUCCAUUAUUCCAAACCACACAAUCACUUGUCUCUUGCAAAACUAGAUAUCACCAUGAACCACCGUGUCCUGGCCCGGUACCAACUGCUAUCCCUUUACUUGCUUGCCAUAACUUAUCGAAUUUACUGCUGGGACUUAUCCCGCUUCUUUUCCGAAUCUAACUCUUUUCCUUCCGUGAUGACAGGAUGACACAUCCUUCAGCUUCUGAGCAACUCCCAUGAGCUCUCCUCUGCAAUCACGUACACGUGCUUAACCUGCUCUAACAUCCUUGGGCUGGAAAAACCCGACACACUGACGAUACCUCCAAACAUCCCCAGGAUGAAUUACCGCUACAUACAUAACCUCCUGAUCACAACCAUACCGGAAAUCCAAGGCUCCAUACUUGCAUCCCUUCCGAACUCCUCUCGUCCUACACCACCGGAAAUUUUUCCGCAACCUCAACAGACACCCAAUCCGGAUGUGCUUCCAUACCACUGACACAAUUACAGUGCUCAACAACCAUAAUUGAAAUACUUUCAAUCAUCCAUUCUCACCACUAUUUUCACUUCCGUGAACCCACACUCCCUCCCGGAGUUACAUACCUUUCCCUUUCCUUAUCCAAGGAAAUAUACUUGCCAACCUUGCCACUUCAGACAAGUGCCACGGUGCUCACACCCCACUCUACACUAUCCCUUGUAGACUAACCGCUACUCCAUGCAUCACACAUGCUCUGAAUCUGUUCGCAAGGACUCUUGGGUCCAUGCACUGCCUUCCACUAACAUGAUCAAUACCCAGGGCCAGACCCACUGCUUGCUACUGCAUAGCAGCAAACUCAAAUCACUUUCCGCAUACAAUUCUAUCAACACUUACAGAGUCUUCAGCAUGACUGGACCGCCUUGCCAGGCCUUCAGCCAAUCUGGACCACUCUUAGAACCUUCAGCAUGUCUGGACCGCCCUCCAGGGCCUUUAGCCUGUCUGGACCAUUCUCUGAGCCUUCAAUCUGACUGGUACACCCACCGGCCUUCAGUCUCCCCGGACCGCUCAAACUAUCAUACAUCAUCCCAAACUAUUCCUCCUGGGAAUCUCUCCCAUACAUACUGUUCUAGCCCUCUAGGGGUUCCGAACUCUAACUCCAUUCCAUAUACUCAGAUCGUGGCCUAUUCCUAGGCCUCACAACAACCAAUCACCCUAUCCGAAAUCCUUGGUCUGUACUCCGCCCCAUCGAUUCGUCACUUACUCAUACCAGCCCACACUCUUGGCUGACUGAGACACUGCUAGAUCAUAAACAGCUAAUCAAACUCUAACGCUUAUCGAUCGUCCUGAGAAUUUUCCAAUUCUCCCCACUUAGAGCACUGACUUCCAACCACCAGUGACUCAUCCACCUUAAACCAGUCAUCCCUACUCAACAUACUCCUCUUAUCCAUGAACCGAUUUCCUUUGCAACGGGCGACCUUCACAAAAUCACUCCCCCGACAUAGUACAUCUCGAACUCUAAGGGAGUUCGACUCUCCGCUGAACCCUCCUCAAAUCUCAAUUACUAUAUCCGGCAACAAGACCAUACAACCAAAUUCUGACCAUCAAUCCCUUGGAUGAUAACCACUUACAACUCCUGACUACUAUCACUUCAACCAACCCAUGAAACACGUAGAAAGGCGAAUAAAAUACAACACCACAAAAUAACAAGAUAACCAGACAACAACGAAACGAAACCAUACUCGCAACCGUAUCCGGCUCUACCCUGACCUCCUCUGCUGUGAGCUUAAAAGUGUGCCCCUGAGCCCUCGGAGGCUCCGCUCCACCCUGGCCCCCACCAGUAGUCCUCAAAGUGGCCGAUGCUGGAACCUGCACUGACCUGGAAACUAACAGUGGACAGUUGGCCCUCAUGUGGCCAACCUGAUGGCACUGAUAACAAAUCCUCCUAUCCUAAACCGGGGCUGACUGAAGGCAAUCCCUCGCAUAAUGCCCCUCUCUCCCGCACUUGCGGCACGCACCACCGGACCUACAAACUCCGGUAUGACCCUUCCCGCACUUCUCACAAGUGCGGCCGCUCUGACUGCCCAACCUGGAAUCAACGGUCUUGGACCGUUUCGGUGCCGGCUGCGACUGUACUGGGGCCUGCCUCUGCUCUCUCAAUUGUAACUCAAUUUCCAACUCACGCCGCCGAGCGGCCUCCUGGAACUCUAGCAAAGUCUCACACCUCUACGUAGACACGAACUGCCUGAUAUCCCUCUUGAGCAUACUCAGAUAUCGGGACAUCUGAGCCUGCUCUGAAGCAAACUCAUGGCAAAACAUCGCCCUCUUCGUGAACAUCCUGGUGAUCUCCGUCACCGACUUUGAAUCCUGCUUCAGCUCCAGGAACUCUUGAUCCAACCUCUCUCUCUCUCAACCUGUGGAACAUAACGAGUACUGAACAUCUCUCAAAACUGAUCCCAUGAAACCGCAGCCCGCUGCGCAUCAUAAUAAGAUCCCGUAGUCAACCUCCACCAAUCCUUCGCCCCGAGCGUCAAAAGGUUCCGAGCACACCUCACUCUCAGAUCUGCAGGGCAUGAACACGUGAAGAAACACCCCUCUACGUCCGAAAACCACCUCAUAGCAAUGAUCGGAUCCUGAACCCCAUCAAAAGUACGGGGCUUUGUAUUAUCGAAGUCCCAAUACUGAAAACCUCGACCGGCUCCUCCACCUAUCGCGGCAGCCGUCUUUGCAAGAUCUGCAUAGCGAUCAUCAAAAUACUCAACCAUGGUGGUCUUGAUCGACCCAAACAUCUCCGACAUCUCUUCCCUAAACAUAGCAGCAAUCUCAUCAUGUAGGAUCCCACGAAUCCUGGCAUUCAACUCAUCCGUACUCAUCUGGCCAAUGACCUCGGGUGGCGCUGAUCCACCAUGACCACCCUCUCCCGAUCCCGAUCCUGACCCGAAUCCACCCCCGGCAUGCCUCGUAACCACCACACUGGAAUAUAUACUGCAAGAAAAUCAGAUGCUUCCCCAAUAACCUGGGAACUAACUCCCGACCCGACCCUAGGGGUUGUGACUUCCUUGAUACGCGUAUGGGUCCUGUGCUUUCAGUAGUACGGACCCAUACUACCUUCCACACCUACCCAUAUUUGUCUCAAGUAUCAUCACAACGCCGUAGCGAUAACAUAUAUGUGGCAACACUCAAUUCUCACCUCUAGAGGAACUGCUAACUACUUCACAUAACGGGGAACCCAAGGCUAGCAAGCAUCAUAUAAUCAGGCAAUUCUAUCAUGCAAUUCUUGAAGAUCCUUAGCCUAGUACUAUCAUGUGGUUCUAACAUAUCACAUAAGCAAAUAACUUGUAUGGUAUUUUGGGGUCUACUUACUGGCUCUUGCUGAUCGUACCUCCGCAUCCUCCUCUACUUAUUUUUGAAAACCAUUUCAAUUUCACUUUGAAAACUCUCCUUGAUUUGAGACUGGAUUCACACGAAUGUUCCUCCAAUUCACUCAAACCAAGGCUCUGAUACCAACUUGUAACACCGUGAAAAUUUACAGCCAAUUUAAACUUUUCAAAAACAACCCAUAUUCAUUAAGUUAUUACAAAAGGUUUUCAGUUCAUUUAUUAUCAGAGUAUCCCAGAAACAUCAACAUAAAACUGAGGAGCGGUACGAUCACGCCUUCUCCUUGCCACGGUCUCCUGAAGUACCUGAAACAAUACAUUGAAACUGUAAGCCCGAAAGCUUAGUGAGGUACCCCCAAAAUACCAACCACAAUACUAUACACAUAUCAUAUCAUAUCAUAAACUGAACAACCAUGCAUAUCGAGUCUACAGUGUGACUG
rnacentral:lncRNA from 1 species